rnacentral:rRNA from 1 species
AAUUUAUUUUAACAAUUGUUAAUCUAGGAUAAAUCCAACUUUUUAACGAAGUGAAUUGAAAUACCUUAUUAACUUUAGAAAAAGAAAUCAAAUAAGAUUAUUCUUUACCUAAAAAAUGAAAGAUAAAAGUCUUUAAAGUAAAAUGGAAAUAAUCUGUUUGAAUAUAGGGAAACCUUUCUCUAAGACUAAAUAAUGAUAUAGCAUACAUGAUAAGCAACAGAGCAUUAGUACCGUAAGGGAAGUAUUUGAAAUAGUAGCUUUAUAAGCAGCUCAAAUUUAAAUUAAAAAAUGAACGAGAGCGUACCUUUUACAUAAUAGGUUAGCAAGUUAAUAUUAGAUGCGAGAUUACUUUUUUCUUUUUAAGAAAAAUCUUAUCCUAGAUAAACCAAUUAUUAAAUAAUAAAUAAGUAUCUAGUAUUAGACCCGAAGCCUAGUAAUCUUACUAUGAUUAGGGUUAUAAAAGCUCGAACAGGUUAUCGUUAUAAAGAUAUCUAAUGAAUUGUAGUAAGUUAGUAAAAGACAAAACUAACUAGGAUAGCUAGUUUUCCGCGAAACCUAUAUAAGUAGGUAGUUUAAAAGUUAUCAUUUUUUUUUUAUUACUAAAAUAAGUAAGGUUUAUAGUUCGCAAAAAAAAAUUACAAGUAAUAGAACAAGAACCAGAAAUAGACCGAGAAAAAUCUAUUUUUAGGCUUCAUAAAAAAAAAUUAAAAGUAAUAGAACAAGAACCAGAAAUAGACCGAGAAAAAUCUAUUUUUAGGCUUCAUAAAAAAAAAAUUAAAAGUAAUAGAACAAGAACCAGAAAUAGACCGAGAAAAAUCUAAUCUAUUCUUAGGCUUCAUAAAAAAAAUUAAAAGUAAUAGAACAAGAACUAGAAAUAAACCGAGAAAAAUCUAUUUUUAGGCUUCAUUACCUCUAUACUUUUAUAUUUUUGUAACUUAUGCCUUACCCUUCGAAGUUUAUAAAUAAAAAAUGAUAAUUACAUCGUUGUAGGUACAGAAUUGUGAUCUUAGACAAAUUUUGAUUAAAAGCAUUGUUUAAUAAACAUGUAAAAUCUGUUUGUAUACAUUGGGGGAUCGUAAAGAUUUUAUUAGUAAGGAUUUGCUCUCGGAAGGGCAACGAUGAAUAUUAAACUGUCGGACAUAGUACGAUAAGGUUGUAUGUCUAAAGGGAAACAGCCUAGAACAAGUGUUAAAGGUUUCAAAGUUAUUGUUAAGUGAAAUUAAGGUAGUUUUUUUCAAAAACAACUAGUAAAUAGGCUUAGAAGCGGCCAUUUUUUUAAGAUCUCGUAAUAGAGUACUGGUUUAUUUAAGUUAAACGCACCGAAAAUAUAACGGAUCUAAAACAGUAUACCGAAACCUUGUACGUAAUUAAAACUAAGAUAAUGAGUUAUUUUAUUACAAAAUAAAGUUAUGUAAAUAUAAAUAUAUAUUUAGAUAUAUAUAUUGUUAUUGUUAAAAUCAUUAAUAGUUAUAUUUAUGGGAUAGCGGAACGUUAGGUUAAUUCUUAGAAUUUAUAUCCUUGAUAUAAAUUAUCUUUAUAGUGAAUAAUAAAUAAUGGUAAAAUCGUUAAAAACAGACUAUCCUAAGUGAUAAUGCUAACAUGAGUAACGAAAAAGGGUAACCCCCUCGCCUUAAGCUUAUAGUAUAAGCGAUUUAAGUAACGGCCCCUAAGUUUAUAAACCUUUCCUAAAGGAUUAAAUGAUAGGUGAAUCUCGCGUAUAUUUAACAUUUAUAAGUAUUUAAUAGAAAACUCAUAAGUGUUAGUUAAUUUAUAAGUUUUGUAUUAAAGAAAAGUGAUAAAUGUUCUAGAAAAAUAUAUGCCGGUAUUUUUAUAUAUCGUAUUGACCGUACCUAGACACUACUACAAGUAAGCAAGUAGAGAAUACAAAGGCGUUUAAGAUAACAAUCAUUAAGGAACUCGGCAAAUUGACUCCGUAACUUCGGGAUAAGGUGUACCAUUAUUAUUAAGUAAUAAGAGGAGACAUAAAAUGGUAUUGUACGACUAUUUAAUUAAAACAAAGCACUUUGCAUAAGAUAAUAAAUCAAAGUAUUGAGUAUGAUUUCUGCCUAAUGUUGGCUAGUUAACGAAUUUUCUUAGUUAAAUAACACUAGGCUAGGUUUUGAAGGAAACCCCUAAUCAAUAGCGGCCUUACCGAUGAGGGUCCUAAGGUAGCGGAAUACCCUAGCUGUUAAAUGCGGUCUUGCAUGAAUGAUUUAACGAUACAAUAGCUAUCUCAAUAAUUGUCUUAGUAAAAUUGGAAUAACUGUGUAGAUACAGUUUUCUUCUAGUUAGACGAGAAGACCCUAUGCAGCUUUACUGUUGCUAGUAAUUGAAUAUAAUAAAACAAGUUUUAGUAUAUAAGGUUAUUGAUAGGAUAAUAGUGAAAUACCUUUACUUAGUUUAUUAUAUUAUUGGACUAGUUGAUUUUAGGUUCUUAGUAUAUAACUAUUGUUUACUACUAAAAGGGAGUAAACAGCUUUUUAUUUAGGACUGCUUUAGUAUAGACAAUGUUUAGCUUAACAUAAAGAGUUAAGGACUGCUUUGGGACGGACAGUAUACAGCUUAAGAGUUAUAGAAAAUAGCUUACAUCUUAAUUUAGUAUCUAUAUGCUUAUCUGAAAGGUUAAUAAUAAAGGUUUAUGUAAAAAAUAUUACUUUUAUAAAUGAGACAUUUGCUAGUAGACAGUUUAUGCGGGGCACAGAUCCCAUAAAAAGUACCUAGGUAUAUCCAAAGUUAAAAUUGUAAAUUCAUUAAAAAUUUUUAAUGAUUUUGUCUUGUUUUUAUUGUGUUUAUAACUAUUAAAUAUAAGACACUAUUUUUACUUUGUAAUAGAUUAUUUUAUGAUUUAUUCACUUAUAUUUCUAUUAAGUUAGAUUAAUUAUAUUUUUUUAAGUAAGGGUUUAACUAUAUGGAAAAUAGAUGUUUAACUUGUCUUUAGCAUUAUUCAAACAUUAAUAAGAUGAUUUUUAAUAUUUACUAUUAAAGUUUAAUAGCUUAACCUUGCUUUACUGUUUGACUUACAUGUCUAUUAGUUACGUAAGCGGGGCAUACGAUCACAAGAUAUAGAAAGGAAAGGUCUUAGAUUUUUGAAAAAAGCUACGCUAGGGAUAAUAGGCUAAUUGCGCUAGAGAGUAUAAAUUGAGUACGCAGUUUGGCACCUCGAUGUCGGCUUAGCUUAUCUACAUAAAUGCAGGAAUCAUAAAGGGUACGACUAUUCGUCGGUUAAAGAGCUACACGAGCUAGGUUAAAUACGUCGUAAGACAGUAUGGUUUCUAUCUUCUAGAAGUAAUUAGAGUAAAACAAGGAUAGCCCCUUCGUACGAAAGGAGUUGGGUAUAGUAACCUCUAGUUUAUUUGUUGUUUAGGUAAUUAAGGCCUAAUAAUAGAAUUCCGGGGAUAUGCUCGUUAAAGGCCUCUAAGAGUACCGCAGGUUCCUAUUAUAUAUUCGCUAUUUAUAAUAUAGAAAGUAGGCACAGCAAUAAAGCUACGUUAGUUAUAAAUAAGUGCUAAAUGUAUAUAGGCACGAAGUUUGUCUUGAGAUACUCUUAAAUAUACGUAAUACAAAAUUACGAAUCGUAAACUUACGAUUGUAUAGGUUUUGGUUUAAAGGAUUUUAAUUUCUUUAGAUAUAAAAUACUAAUUUUAUUUUAUACUAGAUUUU